rnacentral:rRNA from 1 species
AUUCCAGCUCCAAUAGCGUAUAUUAAAGUUGUUGCAGUUAAAAAGCUCGUAGUUGGAUUUCUGGUGGGGCUGUCGGCCUGGCUCCGAAAGGGGUCGUGGUUAGUACACGCCUGGCCAUCCUCGGGGGAAGCUUUGCUGGCACUAAGUUGUCGGCGGAGUGACGCUCGUCGUUUACUGUGAACAAAUUAGAGUGUUCAAAGCAGGCUUAGGCCGUUGAAUACAUUAGCAUGGAAUAAUGAGAUAGGACUUUGGUGGUCUAUUUUGUUGGUUUGCACGCCGAAGUAAUGAUUAAUAGGGGCGGUUGGGGGUAUUCGUAUUCAAUUGUCAGAGGUGAAAUUCUUGGAUUUAUGGAAGACGAACUACUGCGAAAGCAUUUACCAAGGAUGUUUUCAUUG